AGCGAGACCCCACAGGUUCUUUGGGUAGUCUCUGAAUGUCAUACAACUCUUACAUAUUUUAUUAAAAAAUUGUUUUGACACAAAGUCAUGCUGGGUUGCCCAGACUGGAGUGCGGUGAUAAGAUCAUAGCUCACUGCAGCUUCUAACUCUGGGGCUCAAGCAAUCCUCCUGCCACCUCAGUCUCCCAAGUUGUUGGAACACAGGUGCCAGCCACCACACCUGGCUAAUUUAGUUUGGUUUUGUUUUUUUAGAGAUGGGGUCUUGCUAUGUUGCCUACGCUGGUCUUGAACUGCUGGCCUCAGGCAAUCUUCCUCCCUUGGCCACCCAAAGAGAUGGAAUUACAAGCACGAGCCACUGUGCACAGCUGAGAUUUUUCAACUUAGUCUUUUUGUACAUGUGAUAUUUUAUUCAUAGAAUCCAUAAAUGGUAGGGAAAUUUCUGAGUUCAGAGCAAUACAUAUAAUAUAAAACGUGAUAUAUAGACUAGAGUUUCUUAGCCAUACUGGAGGGGCUGGCUUUAGGUAAUCCACGGACUCCCUGAAAUUGGGGACACCAGUGGAAAUAUGUAUGAGCUCAUGGGCAGAUUCCUGUGAUUUUCAGACUUCAAAAUGUCUCUUGGACUCAAAGAUGCCUUAGGGCAGAGGACGUGUGUAUCCCCAGUAUAGAAUCUCGGACAGUGAAUGUCAGUGAACAUUCAGCAGAAAAGCUCUGCCAAAUUCAGUGCUCUGAUGUGACUUUUUCAUCAAGUCAAGGUUCCUGGGAUCUCUUGUACAUGAUCAUCUCACUCUUGUAAGGUUUCAUCGUUUCUGCUUACCCUAGUUUUCUUUCCCACCCUGUUCCCUCUCCCACCAGACUGGACUCUGAAAUGGGCAUGUACAGAGAAGAGGAGACCCCACCAUGCCUCAGGCUUUGAGUGGAGAGGACACAGCCUCUGCUGGGACAGGGAACAGAGGGAUGCGGAGACACUGAAGAUGCUUGUGGACAGUGGUCUGAGGGCGGGACAGUGGCAGGAGAUACCAUUCACUCAGCAUCUCCAGGACAAGAGAUCAGCCUGGCAGUUACAUGUGUUUUUCUUCAAACUAGUUGCCAGGUUGGAAUGGCCAAUGACAUCAGAGAUUCCAACCUUCCUGACUGGAAGGACCGGACUCCGUGGGUGCCUGGGAGCUGAAGUGGACAACAGUAUCUUCUCAGAGCUGUUUGCCACUCCUGACUUCUCCCAGCCUCGAGAAUUUGUAACACACUCUUCUAGCUCCUAGCAGAGUCCAGAAAAAGGCCUUGGGCAGAACAGAGACUCUUUCCAUGGAAUGGGACAGAUUUUGGGAAAAAUCAUGACCAUCCUGCUCGCCGAGCAUAAGGAGGAGAGCCCCCAGCUGGUCUUGAACUCCUGCACUCAAGUGAUCCUCCCGCCUCGGGCUUCCAAAGUGCUGGGAUUACAGAUGUGAGCCGCCAUGCCCAGCCUGCGUGGGUGUUUCUACAAAAUCAAAGCUGACUUCAGAGGACCGCGAAUCUGCGUCGCUGAUCGACGCUGCAUAUUCAGCAUCUUGGAGAAUGAGGUUGGUGACGUUAAUGAAAUCCGCCCCAGCAGGGCCGACCCA